rnacentral:rRNA from 1 species
GACGAACGCUGGCGGCGUGCUUAACACAUGCAAGUCGAACGGAAAGGCCUGCUUUCCCUUGUGGAUUGCGGGUGCUCGAGUGGCGAACGGGUGAGUAACACGUGAGUGAUCUGCCCCCAACUUGGGUAUAAGCCCGGGAAACUGGGUCUAAUUCCCGAUAGGGCUGCAGGGUGGUGCCUGUGGUGGAAAACGAUUUUCUAGUGGUUGGGGAUGAGCUCGCGGCCUAUCAGCUUGUUGGUGGGGUAAUGGCCUACCAAGGCGGCGACGGGUAGCCGGCCUGAGAGGGUGGACGGCCACAUUGGGACUGAGAUACGGCCCAGACUCCUACGGGAGGCAGCAGUGGGGAAUAUUGCACAAUGGGCGGAAGCCUGAUGCAGCGACGCCGCGUGGGGGAUGACGGCCUUCGGGUUGUAAACUCCUUUCGACCGCGAGGAAGCCACCUGGUUGGAAGGGUGGUGACGGUAGUGGUAGAAGAAGCACCGGCUAACUACGUG